GUGCCCACAUUGGCAGCACAUUUACUAAAACUAGAAGGACACAAAGAAGAUUAGCAUGGCACCUGCAUAAGGAUGACACUGAAAUUCAUGAAGUGCGCCAUAUAUUU